rnacentral:rRNA from 1 species
GACGUAGGGCGCGAGCGUUGUCCGGAUUUAUUGGGCGUAAAGAGCUCGUAGGCGGCUUGUCGCGUCGACUGUGAAAACCCGCGGCUCAACCGUGUGGUCUGCAGUCGAUACGGGCAGGCUAGAGUUCGGUAGGGGAGACUGGAAUUCCUGGCGUAGCGGUGAAAUGCGCAGAUAUCAGGAAGAACACCCGUGGCGAAGGCGGCUCUCUGGGACGGUACUGACGCUGAGACGCGAAAGCGUGGGGAGCGAACAGG